rnacentral:rRNA from 1 species
AAGUCGGAGGUGAAAUCCCACAGCUUAACCUUGGAACUGCCUUUGAACUGUUUGACUUGAGUAUGAUAGAGGAAAGUGGAAUUUCUAGUGUAGAGGUGAAAUUGCGUAGAUAUUACAAAGAACACCGAUUGCGAAGGCAGCUUUCUGGAUCAUUACUGACACUGAGGAACGAAAGCGUGGGUAGCGAACAGGAUUAGAUACCCUGGUAGUCCACGCCGUAAACGAUGUGUGCUAGACGUUGGAAAUUUAUUUUUCAGUGUCGCAACAAAAGCGUUAAGCACACCGCCUGGGGAGUACGACCGCAAGGUUAAAACUCAAAUGAAUUGACGG